rnacentral:rRNA from 1 species
UAGGGAAUCUUCGGCAAUGGGGGGAACCCUGACCGAGCAACGCCGCGUGAGUGAAGAAGGUUUUCGGAUCGUAAAGCUCUGUUGUUAAGGAAGAACGAGUGUGAGAAUGGAAAGUUCAUGCUGUGACGGUAAUUAACCAGAAAGGGACGGCUAACUACGUGCCAGCAGCCGCGGUAAUACGUAGGUCCCGAGCGUUGUCCGGAUUUAUUGGGCGUAAAGCGAGCGCAGGCGGUUAGAAAAGUCUGAAGUGAAAGGCAGUGGCUCAACCAUUGUAGGCUUUGGAAACUGUUUAACUUGAGUGCAGAAGGGGAGAGUGGAAUUCCAUGUGUAGCGGUGAAAUGCGUAGAUAUAUGGAGGAACACCGGUGGCGAAAGCGGCUCUCUGGUCUGUAACUGACGCUGAGGCUCGAAAGCGUGGGGAGCGAACAGG